GGAAGUGCCAAGGUCACUGGUGGGCCUCCCGGACUUCAAAUCCGGUGUGAGGGACUAAAACUCUCUCAGGUGGGUUCGAUUCCCAUGCACUUCCGCCA
rnacentral:tRNA from 1 species